CCUACGGGGGGCUGCAGUGGGGAAUAUUGCACAAUGGAGGAAACUCUGAUGCAGCGACGCCGCGUGAACGAUGAAGGCUUUCGGGUCGUAAAGUUCUGUCCUUGGGGACGAUAAUGACGGUACCCAAGGAGGAAGCCCCGGCUAACUACGUGCCAGCAGCCGCGGUAAUACGUAGGGGGCAAGCGUUGUCCGGAUUUAUUGGGCGUAAAGGGUUCGCAGGUGGCCUUUUAAGUCAGAUGUGAAAGAUCAAGGCUUAACCUUGGUAAGCAUUUGAAACUGAAAGGCUUGAGUUAAGGAGAGGAAAGUGGAAUUCCUAGUGUAGCGGUGAAAUGCGUAGAUAUUAGGAGGAAUACCAGUGGCGAAGGCGACUUUCUGGACUUAUACUGACACUGAGGAACGAAAGCAUGGGGAGCAAACAGGAUUAGAUACCCCGGUAGUC
rnacentral:rRNA from 1 species